AUUCCAGUGCUUCACCACCCUCCUAGUGAAAUCAUGUUUCCAAAUAUCCAACUUAGAACUCCCCCACUGCAACUCGAGACUAUUGCUCCUUGUGCUCCUUGACUACUGCAGGAAGUCUGGGAAACAAGCAGGGAGAACUGGAAGUCCUGGCACAGUCAAGGAACUAUGAUGUGAUUGGAAUAACAGAGACUUGGUGGGAUAACUCACAUGACUGGAGCACUGUCAUGGAUGGAUAUAAACUGUUCAGGAAGGACAGGCAGGGCAGAAAAGGUGGAGGAGUUGCAUUGUAUGUAAGAGAGCAGUAUGACUGCUCAGAGCUCUGGAAUGAAACUGCAGAAAAACCUGAGAGUCUCUGGAUUAAGUUUAGAAGUAUGAGCAACAAGGGUGAUGUCAUCAUGAGAGUCUGCUAUAGACCACCAGACCAGGGGGAUGAGGUGGAUGAGGCUUUCUUCUGGCAACUAACAGAAGUUACUAGAUCGCAGGCCCUGGUUCUCAUGGGAGACUGCAAUCACCCUGAUAUCUGCUGGGAGAGUAAUACAGCGGUGCACAGACAAUCCAGGAAGUAUUUGGAAAGUGUAGGGGACAAUUUCCUGGUGCAAGUGCUGGAGGAGGCAACUAGGGGCAGAACACAUCUUGACCAGCUGCUCACAAACCAGGAAGAAUUAGUAGGGGAAGCAAAAGUGGAUGAGAACCUGGGAGGCAGUGACCAUGAGAUGGUAGAAUUCAGGAUCCUGACACAAGAAAGAAAGGAGAGCAGCAGAAUACGGACCCUGGACUUUAGAAAAGCAGACUUUGACUCCCUCAGGGAACUGAUGGGCAGGAUCCCCUGGGAGAAUAACGUGAGGGGGAAAGGAGUCCAGGACAGCUGGCUGUAUUUUAAAGAAUCCUUAUUGAGGUGGCAGGAACAAACCAUCCCAAUGUGUAGAAAUAGUAAAUAUGGCAGGCGACUGGCUUGGCUAAACAGUGAAAUCCUUGCUGAUCUUAAACACACAAAAGAAGCUUACAAGAAGUGGAAGAUUGGACAAAUGACCAGGGAGGAGUAUAAAAAUAUUGCUCAGGCAUGCAGGAGUGAAAUCAGGAAGGCCAAAUCACACUUGGAGUUGCAGCUAGCAAGAGAUGUUAAGAGUAACAAAAAGGGUUUCUUCGGGUAUGUUAGCAACAAGAAGAAAGUCAAGGAAAGUGUGGGCCCCUUACUGAAUGAGGGAGGCAACCUAGUGACAGAGGAUGUGGAAAAAGCUAAUGUACUCAAUGAGUUUUUUGCCUCUGUCUUCACAAACAAGGUCAGCUCCCAGACUACUGCACUGGGCAGCACAGUAUGGGGAGGAGGUGACCAGUCCUCUGUGGAGAAAGAAGUGGUUCAGGGCUAUUUAGAAAAGCUGGAUGAGCACAAGUCCAUGGGGCCAGAUGCGCUGCAUCCGAGGGUGCUACAGGCUGGGGACCGACUGGCUAAGCAGCAGUUCUGCAGAAAAGGACCUGGGGAUUACAGUGGAUGAGAAGCUGGACAUGAAUCAACAGUGUGCCCGUGUUGCCAAGAAGGCUAACCGCAUUUUGGGCUGUAUAAGUAGGGCCAUUGCCAGUAGAUCAAGGGACGUGAUCGUUCCCCUCGAUUCGACAUUGGUGAGGCCUCAUCUGUAGUACUGUGCCCAGUUUUGGGCCCCACACUACAAGAAGGAUGUGGAAAAAUUGGAGAGAGUCCAGCGGAGGGCAACAAAAAUUAUUAGCGGGCUGGCGCACAUGACUUAUGAGGAGAGGCUGAGGGAACAGGGAUUGUUUAGUCUGCAGAA
ensembl:lncRNA